GUUUGAUUAGCUCAGGUGGUUAGAGCAACCGACAAAGAAUCGGUCUGACACGGGUUCAAAUCCUGUAUCAAACUCCA
rnacentral:tRNA from 1 species